rnacentral:piRNA from 1 species
UGAGCUCACACGACCAUUUAUGUGUCUUAA